AACAAACGUGGUCUGUUGUCCUGGUACCCACGAUAAAUCACGACACUGGCCAUGCGGCAUGCACCUUGUAGUUUUGUCACUGUCCCUUCUGGUUUUUCUGUCUGGAGUUUUGGACAGACAACCAUGAAGCUCAAGAAAAGGUAGCUGAACCAAAUCUUACACGCUCUGAUGCUAUCUGAGCUAGCCCUGAUUGUCGAGCUACACCGAUGAGUUGAGCUGUAGGUUUUGGGAUCUAUAUGAGAAGUCGGCCUGGCUGUGGACCUGCGGUGUACCGUUUCUUAGCUGCUUUAGAGGCUGCAUUAUUAUCGGCUACACUUUCUUGGGUUUUAGCUAGAUCUUAAUUAUUGUUUUCUUCUCUUAUGAAC
rnacentral:lncRNA from 1 species